UUAUGUGGCCAGUUUGCUCGGUCAAUUCGGUAUACUUUGAUGCAUUCUCCGUGCGGAUUUUCAUAUAUUAAAUGGGAGCAUGUAAGCAAAAAUCGGUGACUUUUGUGAUGUCUUUUCCUGCCUCCCUUUCUCCGUGCUGUCUCUCUCUCUUGGCAGCUGGGCAAAAGUGGGCAGGGAGAGAGGAGGGCAUGGCCCAAAAACUGCUCUCAAGCCCCAGCCCCUGUUCGAGUGGGGUUACUUGCUGGUACACUACUCAGCCUUUCCCCCGUCUUGCAGGCGAAAGAGAGGGAUGUGGAAAUGUAUUCUCGUCUCCUUUCUAACCCGCCUUUUUUUUCUUUUUUUUUUUGUCGUCGCCACCAUGGCCUUAUUGUCUGCGGGUGAACACUCGCCUGAUCUUAACAAAAAAACUCAGUUUGACCAACAAGCUUCCGCUGCUACCUGCAAAACUAUCUGUCCUUAAGGCUGAGGUAGUAGAUUGAAUAGUUGUGGGGUUAAUGUCCUCCUUUUGAGAUAACUAUACAAUCUACUGUCUUUCCGAAGGAAACAGGAUAAUCUUCCGUGAUGCUGAAGGCUGUGUGCACAAGGGAAGCUUCGCGGAUUAAAGGAACUCAAAGACUGAGUAAAUACAAUAUUUAACAAAGAACUCAUCCCCCACCUGUGGAGAUGCAACUGCAGACACAACAAAGACUUUACAUGUUUACCACAAACAAUGGUGGAACUGGUCUACUGAGACAUUUUCUAAAGUUGAUACACAAUGACCAAAGCUUGCUUUUAAGGAUAUUCAUUGGUGCUCGAAGUUGAGCCUAGCAAGAUGAGGUAGUAGGUUGUAUAGUUUGUGGGAUGGAGUAAAUCCUACUCAGGUGAUAACUAUACAGUCUAUUACCUUCCUUGAGAGGUACAAUGAGUGCUUGGGAUGAAGCUCACUCACUGAUGCAAGUGAUGACGGAGACACUCUAAUGCCACCUUGUGGCAAAAGACAAACAUCACUUUGGAAAAGAUUUAAACUUUGUUGUAAACUUCUGUUUUUUUUCUGUGAAAGAUAAAGUAUUUAUGAGGGAUUGAUAAGACAAGUGAAAAACUAAGGUUCAUCUACUAUCUUUUUUGGACAGUUUAGAACUAAAGAUAUUAUCUGACGCGUUAUUUAAAAACACCAUUUUAUCAUUCUACAGCCAAAUUAGAGGACUGACAUUAGACCGAUAUUAAAUUUGUUUGAUAAUCCUGUCAAAAGGACCACAGUUAAAGACUUACAUAUGCAAAAUAAGGAAAUGAGACAGUGUUUAAGGCUUAUGCAAGUAAAACUCUAUCAUGUCCCAUUGACAUGCCUUCUGCAAAGAGAGUGGCUCUAAAGUUUACCAGCGUAGUGUAGACAAAAUAAAUUGUUUUAUAAUACAUUUUGGCAGCUAAUGUUGGUUUGUAAAUAUGUACAAACUGUUUAAAAUGGAGGGAAGUAAAUACGGUCUAAAAGCCUGCAUUUAUAAACAUCAAAAACGGUUUAAUGUAACUUCACAUUCACACUUACUCUGUUUAAAUCUGAGCUGUCAAUUCUAAAAUUGAGGAAAUGAAAGAAACUUUCACAACCACAAACCUGAAUGAAAUGAAGUGUCCGUGAAAUCGUGAGCAAGCGCAAAGGCAUGUCCUGUCACAUGUUUGUUAAAAACUGGAGCAAAAUUGUGAUGCAAGAAACACAAGUUAAUUUACAAGUAUUUUUAUUCUAUUUUUUUGUUUAUUGUAACGAGGAAUACCCUUGUAAUUUGUCGAAAAUACAAAUAAAACAAUACUAAAAAAGUGAAAAAAAGUGACAAAAAUGUGUCAUUAUUAAGAUGUCUAUAAUUAAUUACAAUCAGACACAUUAAGUAAAGGAAUCAUUUACCAUAAAGUUUACAAAAGCCUUACAUUCAGCAUGGCUUAUCAAGAUCUACAAUUUCCUUGUGUAAACUAUUUCAGGCAGCUGCGGCAGAAAACACAUAAGCUUUCUUUCCCAUCGCCAUCUUGUAAUCUAAGAAAAAGUUUGGACAAUGUGCUGCGAAAUACAUUUGCAAAGGUAUGAGAGAAGUUUGUCUAGAAGGGCUUGCAAAUUAAAAGUACAUAUAUAUAUAUAUGAUCCUAACAUUGCAUAGAAAGAGAUGGUGUGUAAUAAAGUCUGUACAGUGCACUGUUUACUUCAUUUGGUAAUUGUGGUGGUACUUCUAGUUAAGAAGUACAACUAGCAUCUGUAUGGCAUUGCAAUAAAAACUCCCAGUGCUUGCUGCAA